rnacentral:rRNA from 1 species
AUUAGAUACCCUAGUAUGAAUAAGGUUUUAAAUUCGUAUAUUAAUGAGAAUUAAAAGUUUUGGCGGUUAUUGAUUUAUUAAAGGAGCUUGUUUUAAUUAAGAAUUUACUCUUUAUAUCUUACUAAUAAAUAAUGUUUAUUCAUCUCCGUUAUUAAAAAUAUUUUUGGAAGAAAAUUAAUUUAAGAUUUCAGGUCAAGAUGUAGCUUUUGUUAGUCAAUAGAUUAGCUACAUUUAUAUAAUAAGUUGGAGUUUUUAAUAGGAGGAUAAAAAGGAAAUUGAAUUUAAUUGUAAUAUGAAUUAUAAAGUUUUUAUGAAUUAGAGUUUAGUAAUGUACAUAUCGCCCGUCACUCAUA